CAUCUUUUUUGCGUUGCAGCUGAUUGUCCACUGCGCGGAGCUCUGAUCAGUCCGCAUGAGUCCAGAGAGAAAGCUGCGAGGGAGGAUUCAAAAGUCAGCGGCUUUACAGGAGGAUGCAGACCAGCCACAGAACUGAAGGUUGCAGAAGGAGUUAAGCUGAACAGCACUGAAGAGGAAGAGGAAGAAGAGCAGGUAGAUGAGCAACAUGUCACCCAUAUCCACUCAUCUCAUUAAGCAUAUUUCCAUCCAUGCAUGACUUUAUGGAAGUAUAUCAUGCAGAGAUAUUGAUCAGAAACAUGUGGGGGAACCAUGUCUGGCUGCUAGUGAAACAUGACUGUCUCCAUUGUUCCAGGUUUCCCCACCCCAUUACGCACAGGCCAAACACGCAGGCAGAAAUACUCCUAAAGGACCUUGAGCGUGAACCCACCCCCCUCACUGAAAUACCAUUUUUUCUUCACUCUGUGUGCAUAUAUAAAUGUGAUUCUGAAACCACAUAGCUCAUGUGUAAUUAAAUGAAAGUGCUGUUUUAUUUUGCACAAGGGGGAGAUGUGAGCAGUGCACGAGCAGUGCCGGAGUCUGGCAUGCUUCAUGCUUUAUUUUCAAAGAGCAUCGUUGCACAAAAUGUCCUUAGUCGUGUCAGAUCCGUUUAGAAUUCUGCUCUCAAAAUAGAUGCACUUAAUCAAUAAUCAUUUGAUUAUUGAUAAUCAUAUAAUCAUUUAGGACACAGCAUCACAACCAUGUAAAUGUGGUUAUGAGCACAAAGUAUAAGAGAGUAAUAAAAAAAAAGCAUCCUAAUGCCAUCUAGAACUAGAAGCAUUUAUAGUAAACUCAAGGACACAAGACACUGUGUAGGUGUGAGUCUUAUUUUGGACACAGGCCCCAACAGUGUGUUGGACUGGGAUGAGCCGAGCCAUGCUGCAGCACUGCGGACCAUCAGGCGAAAGGCUGCAGGACAAACAGGCUGAAACACAGCAGGACCCAUAUGGCCUGGAGAAGAGCCACAGCCAAGUAGAACACACACAUUCACAUGCAAGUUUACACCAAUUAGCCAUAACUUUAAGGCCAAUGACAGGUGAAGUGAAUAGCAUUGAUUAUCUUGUUACAUGGGCACCUGUCAAGGGAUGGGAUAUAUCAGGCAGAAAAUUAAGUCACAUUGAAUUUGAUGUGUUGGAAGCAGGAAAAAUAGGCAAGAUGGGAUGUUCCUGGUAUUCAGUGAUUAUUAAUUUCCAAAAGUGGUGCAAGGAAGGACAAACAGUGAACCGGUGAUCAUGUCAUUGAUGUGUGUGGGGACAGAACUGUAGUAGAAAUUGCUGAAAAAGUUAAUGGCUUAAUAGGAAAGUGUCAGAACACACACUAAAUUCCAGCUUGCUGCCUUGCCACAGACUGGUCCAAGCGUCCAUGUCCUCUGCUGAAAGUGCUUAGAAUGGGCAUGUUACAUUGAUACAUAUCAGCAAUGUCACCGUGGAUCAUGUACCCUUCUUCAUGGCCAGCCUUUCCUAAUGCAGUGGCAUCUUCUAGAAUCCUGCUGAAAUGCAAAAAUGGUUCAGGAAUGGUUUGUGGAUCAUGACAAAGAGUUCAAGGUGCUGAAUUGGCAUCAAUUCCACAGAUCUCAAUCUGAUCGUGUAUCUGUAGGAUGUGCUGGAUAAACAAGUAUGAUUUAUGAAGGCUCACCUUACAACUUAAAGGACUUACUGCUAACGUCUUGUUGCCAGAUACCACAGCACACCUAUAGAGGUCUUGUGGAGUCAGUGUGUGGAUAGGUCAAAGCCGUUUUGGUGGUACAAGGGAGGUGGUUUUAUUUUGAUGGGUGAUUGGUGGACAUUUCUCCUGCUAUAUAAACUCUCAUGACUUGUUAACUUGAUAUACUGGAUCUUGUGUAAAGUUGAACAGUAAUAAUUCUCUGUGGAAAUUAAACUAUGCUUAAUGUGCAUCUGCACUGAUCUUGGAGAAACAAACACUCAAUCUGACUGACUCAAAUUUUAGUUACAUAAACCCAUAUAUAUGGGCAUAUAUAAUACAUCAACAUCGCUCAUCAGUCACUCUCUUGCAGAUCACAUCAAGUUCCAGCAGAGUCUCUAUAUGCAUAUUUAUCUAAGUUUGCUUACCUCAUUUCACUCCCUCCCUUCUGUGUGUCUUAAAAAAUGAACAGGAAGAACCAAGGACAAACAUAUUGGUCUUGGUUAUUGGAGCAUCAUUCUGAAGUAACUUCACUUAUCAAUGAUAUAACAAAAAUUUCAGGGCCUCGGCAUCAAGGUGGUAUGGAAGAAGCAGAUGGGUUAUUGGAAAGCAGCCACACAAGGUUCUACUCAGCAUCAAUCGAUACAAUUUGUAAGCAAACAGGCUUGGUGAAAUCAGCACAUUAAACAAGACUGGGUAUCAUGUUAGGAAUGGAUGGCUGAGAUCCAUUUGCAGCAUUCAAGGUGAUGCAGCACUCAUUAACAUUAAAGCAUUCAGGAUGAUGCAGCUCUCCAGUUGUGCUAUCUUUGGAUGCAUUAUAGUAAUAGCUCAUCCGUUUCUACAUACGUGCUCUAAUUGCAACGUGAUGUAAUCUUUCAUGAUUGCAUCAUACUUUGAAUGAUUGACUGGUAAAUGUUGAACAGGGCUUUUGGACUUAUUUAAAUUUGAAAUAAUGAACUAUUUGGUUUGUACUAUGUAAAAAAAUGUAUACUUAUAGGAUAAUUGUAUUUUAAAAGAAAUAGAUUACAAACAUGCACUCUACAUGGAACAGGUCUCAGAAAUAGUGAUCAUUUUAGCCACUAUUGUAGGCUAAAACUGUAGCCAACCGAUGCAUCUUUAAAUAAGUGAUGGAUUAAUCUCCAGAGAUUAAUAAAUAAAAGUCCAUUAAGAUCCUUUACUUAAUCCUGGCCCAAGACACUGUAGUUCAAACUAUUUAGAAAAUCCUAGUUAAAAAAAUCUUAAUUAUUUAAUUGCUAAUUUGAUCCAUUCCAUGACCAGAAUGCUGAAUAAAAUGGUCCUUUAAGACAGAAACUUGGAUGUACACUAUUUGGAUUAAAUGUACAUACUUUCAAAUACACUUAAUUACACUCCAUUCAAUUAAAAUUCAUGGACCAAAAAGGUCACUAAAAAGAACUUGACAUUUAUGAGUUGUGUACAAUCACUGAAAAUUAGAUUUAAAUUAAAUUAAUUUGAUUUAAACAAAUACAUUUUUGCAUAAAUAAUUCCAUCUUUAGCCAUUGUUGUAAAUAUUUUGUUUUAUUUGAAACCAGGGUUGGGGGAACCAGUCCUGAGUGGACUUAGCUGCUGCUCUGCUUGGCAGCCAGUCUCUUGUCUCUCUCCUCAGCAAUGGUCAGACGGAUACCCUUUCCACGAGGGAUGGACACCCAUGGCUUGUUACCCUGAACACCACACGAGACACAUUUAAGAAAUUACUUUCAUAAUUACGAGGUCACUUCAGAGGGCUGCAGAUAUUAACAUUGGGUUGUUUUAAGUCCAUGCUAAAAAAGUAUAUAUAAAAAAUAGUUGUGCAAAUUCUUCAUGUCUUAAAAUCUGCUCAGAACAGGAUUAUAGGACAUAAAAUGCAUGAGCACAUGUAUCAAAUAUCAGCUCUUUUGCCAGUUUAAAAUCUGAUUAAAAUGCAUGAAGCAAAAGACAAGACUAAUGGGAAAUACUUUAGCCAACAAUAAGCAUUUACAAGAAAGAUUGUUUUACUCUCCAUCUGAAAUUCUUACUAAGUCAACUUUAUACAAUUGCAAAAAUAAGCAAUGAAUGAAAAACCUAACUGGGACUGCAUUAAGCAGCUGUCGGCAGAAAAUGUGUGAAUUUCUCUCUCACCUUGCCAAUGACAAAGAUGUUGGAGAGCCUGGUGGCAAAGCUGUUGCCUGUGCUGUCCUUCACGUGCACCACAUCAAAGGAGCCAGGAUGCCUCUCUCGGUUGGUGAUGACACCAAUACGACCCAAGUUAGCACCACCAGUCACCAUGCACAGGUUACCUACACACAGGUAGAGAAAGCAGACAUGUCACUCAAGUGGAACAUCGACACACAUGUCUUUUACAGGCAGAGCUUAUGACAAAUAAUUCCAACAUGGACUACAAUGUAACCAGUUUGCACAAUUUUCCAUUGACUCCCCAUGUUGGAGUGUUGGCUGACUUCAGUGAGCUUAUAUAUUUUAGCCUUAAAAUAAAUAAAUACUGACCAGUGUCAAACUUGAUGAAAUCUGUGAUUUUGCCAGUCUCCAGGUCAAUGCGGACCGUGUCAUUAGCCUUGAUCAUGGGAUCAGGGUAGCGGAUGGUGCGGGCAUCAUGGGUCACCAGGUGAGGGAUUCCCUUAGUGCCAACAAGGAGUUUCCUAACCUUGCACAGCUUGUACUACAGAUAAACAGGGUGGGGAAAAAGAUUAACACAAUCAGAAACAAGGCUUCUAAUGAAGCAGUAUAGUAGGCUAACUACCUGCAAAAAGAAAAUUAAAAUGUUAAACAAAACAUGCAGGAGCAAAUAAAAAGGUGUCACAUCUCAGUUUCUAAUUCUACAGCACUUGCAGCAAAUAUCUUUUACCGCAAUUACAAAACACAUUCCACAAUAUAAAUUUGUGUCAAAAUGACAAAUGUGGCUCACCUUGGCCUCCUCGUUGGUGAUGCGGUGGACAGUGAAACGGCCUUUCACAUCAUAAAUCAAGCGGAAGUUUUCUCCAGUCUUCUCAAUGCUGAUCACAUCUGCAACCCAAAACACAAAACUGUAACCUGUCCAGAAGCUGUUCAUACAACCUGCUCCAAGUCCCCCACAAACAUCACAGCAACUUACUGGUGGCUAUUUCACACUCACCAGGUUUUGACAAUGAAUCAGAUCAGAUUUAAUAUCCUCUUGGCAAUCUUAUCUGAACUCCCACUGGGUGAAUGACAGUGGCUCCAUAAAAACAAUAACAUUUGUCAGUCUUGGAGGAAGGACAUAUAAUUGCUCAUCCAUCUGUUAAACUGUGCCAUCAAAGUCACCCAUCACACAAACCGAACACUUAUAACAUGGCAAACUCUGCAGUAAACUGCAAAAGGAAAAUAUGUCACAGUAAAGAGACUUCUGCUGUGGUUUACUGUGCACAUCAUAACUAAUUACCAAACACUAAAGAAACUAAUGGAUGCAAAAGUACUUAAAAAACCCCAUACUCUCAACUAAAAUUAAAUGUUUGCCUAGUAGUUCACCAACAUGCUUUCUUAAACUGUCACUCAGAAUGACUACCAUUGGUACUCGAUUUUAAACACCAACAAUGGUACCAAAAAGAACACACCGGAACAGGGUGUUCAUCCAUAACCCUGACUACAUAUGAAGUGUGUUGAAUCAGUGAAUGGAAAAAGAUGAGCCUGCUUGGCAAAUUACCAUUUAACAAUAAUAUCUGGACAGGACAAGCUUUCUAGACAAUGCAUGUUGACUAGCACAGGAAAAGUGAAGUCUUCCCUAUUAGUGUAAAAAAAAUGCAAGUGCCUACGUCUCAUUUUAAUAGAAAACGGACUGAUCUGAUGUUUAUUUUAAGUAGAAAGAUAACUCACCAAAUCCAACUGUAUAAAUGCACUUGUUAUAAAUAUUUUACUUUUGCUGUUGUGUUUCAUUAACCAGAAGAUCAUUAAUCUUACCGUGCAGUACUAUACUUUAGAAAUCCAUAUACAAGCAUUUAUUUUCAUUGGUAUUGCAGUGUAGAGUUAACUGCAAUUUUUGUUAAUGGCACUGGUUUGGGAUUUCACCAACAGAAUUUUGUUGCAUCAAACCCAAUGACAAUAAAACUCAGAUCCCAGUAUUAAACAACUAAUGUUUAGAGAUGCAACUGAAGAGAAUGAGCAAAACAUUUUCCAUCAGAAAUGUCUCUCUUACCAACAUGCCAAUGCCAAAAAGCCAUACAUUACUUGAGGAAUAUCAAGUCCACUCGAAAUCAACUUUUAUUUACAUGAUCGUACAAAGCUGUGAGGCUCUUAUAAGGAUUAUAUACCAAAAUUGUGUCAUCUACUGAAAUCACGGUAAAUGUGGUGCUCCUUGGCUAUAAUAUAACCUAUAAGGCAUUGAAACGAUACUUUGGUUAACAGGACCAAACUGACUUACCCAUAAAUCCAGCAGGGUAGGUGAUGUCGGUGCGGACCUUGCCAUCGACCUUGAUGAACCUCUGCAUGCAGAUCUUCUUAACCUCGUCUCCAGUCAGCGCGUACUUCAGCCUGUUCCUCAGGAAGAUGAUGAGGGGCAGACAUUCUCUCAGCUUGUGGGGACCGGUGGAGGGCCGAGGAGC